UACGAAGGGGGCUAGCGUUGCUCGGAAUCACUGGGCGUAAAGGGUGCGUAGGCGGGUCUUUAAGUCAGAGGUGAAAUCCUGGAGCUCAACUCCAGAACUGCCUUUGAUACUGAAGAUCUUGAGUUCGGGAGAGGUGAGUGGAACUGCGAGUGUAGAGGUGAAAUUCGUAGAUAUUCGGAAGAACACCAGUGGCGAAGGCGACUCACUGGACACGUAUUGACGCUGAGGUGCGAAAGCGUGGGGAGCAAACAGG
rnacentral:rRNA from 1 species